rnacentral:rRNA from 1 species
GUGGGGAAUAUUGGGCAAUGGGGGAAACCCUGACCCAGCAACGCCGCGUGAAGGAAGAAGGUUUUCGGAUCGUAAACUUCUAUCCUUGGUGAAGAUAAUGACGGUAGCCGAGAAGGAAGCCCCGGCUAACUACGUGCCAGCAGCCGCGGUAAUACGUAGGGGGCAAGCGUUGUCCGGAAUGAUUGGGCGUAAAGGGCGCGUAGGCGGCCUGGUAAGUCUGGAGUGAAAGUCCUGCUUUUAAGGUGGGAAUUGCUUUGGAUACUGUCGGGCGUGAGUGCAGGAGUGGUAAGUGGAAUUCCCGGUGUAGCGGUGAAAUGCGUAGAGAUCGGGAGGAACACCAGUGGCGAAGGCGACUUACUGGACUGUAACUGACGCUGAGGCGCGAAAGUGUGGGGAGCAAACAGGAUUAGAAACCCUGGUAGUCC